AUGUCUUUUUGAUUUUAAUUUAAGGUCUGAUCUGCUCGAUGAAUAAUUAAAUUGCCGCAGUAUUAUAACUGUGCUAAGGUAGCAUAAUCAUUAGUUUUUUAAUUGAAUACUGGAAUGAAAGAUUGGACGAAAUAAUUUCUGUCUUAUUAAAAAGUGAUUUUUAAUUUUAUUUUUAAGUGAAAAAGCUUAAAUGUUUUUAGAAGACGAGAAGACCCUAUAGAAUUUUACACUAAUUCUAUUAUAGAAAAAUUUUUGAGUGUUUAUUUGGGGUGAAUUGAAGAUUUAAUUAAUUCUUUAAAUUUUAAGUUGAUGAUAAUUAAUUUUAAAUUUUAAUAUUUUUAAAUAUAAUAUAAAUUACCUUAGGGAUAACAGCGUAAUUUUUCUUUAGAGUUCUUAUUGGAAGGAAAGUUUGCGACCUCGAUGUUGGAUUAAAGUUAAUUUUUGGUGUAAUAGCUUAUUAAUUAGGUCUGUUCGACCUUUGAAACUUUACAUGAUCUGAGUU
rnacentral:rRNA from 1 species